CCCUUAGAUGUUCUGGGCCGCACGCGCGCUACAAUGAUGCAGGCAACGAGUGCUGCUCCUUGGCCGAAAGGCUUGGGGAACCUUGAAAACUGCAUCGUGCUAGGGAUAGAUGAUUGCAAUCGUGCAUCUUGAACGAGGAAUGCCUUGUAAGCGUGAGUCAUCAACUCGCGCUGAAUACGUCCCUGCCCUUUGUACACACCGCCCGUCGCUCCUACUGAUUGGUGAUCCGGUGAAUGAUUCGGACUUCAGCGGCUCCCCUGGGGUGCGCCGGAGAAAGUUUUGUGAACCUUAUCACUUGGAGGAAGGAGAAGUCGUAACA
rnacentral:rRNA from 1 species